rnacentral:rRNA from 1 species
AUUGAACGCUGGCGGCAGGCCUAACACAUGCAAGUCGAACGGUAACAGGAAGCAGCUUGCUGCUUUGCUGACGAGUGGCGGACGGGUGAGUAAUGUCUGGGAAACUGCCUGAUGGAGGGGGAUAACUACUGGAAACGGUAGCUAAUACCGCAUAACGUCGCAAGACCAAAGAGGGGGACCUUCGGGCCUCUUGCCAUCGGAUGUGCCCAGAUGGGAUUAGCUAGUAGGUGGGGUAACAGCUCACCUAGGCGACGAUCCCUAGCUGGUCUGAGAGGAUGACCAGCCACACUGGAACUGAGACACGGUCCAGACUCCUACGGGAGGCAGCAGUGGGGAAUAUUGCACAAUGGGCGCAAGCCUGAUGCAGCCAUGCCGCGUGUAUGAAGAAGGCCUUCGGGUUGUAAAGUACUUUCAGCGGGGAGGAAGGGAGUAAAGUUAAUACCUUUGCUCAUUGACGUUACCCGCAGAAGAAGCACCGGCUAACUCCGUG